rnacentral:lncRNA from 1 species
GCUGGGGGGAGGCUGGAAGGGGGUGGAGUUGCUGGUUUUUCCUUUGAACACGGUGAAGACUUUAGCUUGGAACUUGCAUUUGUGGAGCUUCCAGCCGGCAGGAAUCAGCUCUGCCUCCUGUGGGAGAGCCCCCGGCAGAAAGGGGGUGCCCUGUGCUUGGGGGCAGAGUGAGGGCAGGAGGCAUGGAACAACCCUUGGCUGCUGCCUUCUCCCCUGUGCCCCCUUCGCCUUUUCUCUCUCUGUCUUUUUGCUUGUCUGGGGACUUGUGCUAACGCUGCCUGUGCCAGGAGGGAUCCGGGAGCGAGCUGACCCUCGGCUGCAGGAAUUGGCUUCCCACCUGCUCACAGCCUCGAGGAAGCAUCCCGUCCAUCCGAGGUGUUGUGAGGAGAAAGGCAGGAGGUGGCUUGGAACCUGCAGCGCUGAGCCCUGGCAUGUGAGGGUGGGCAGGGGGACAGCAGGCUUUUCCUCUUGCCUUCCCUGGAGAUUUGGGAUCACGCAUAGACCAUGAACGGAUCCUUUCUCAACCAGAGUCUCCUAGAGCAGGGAGCUUACCCCAACAGGACCCAGGGCUUGGGGAUGCUCAUGGCCUGCUGCAAUGGGACCAGCUCGGUGCUGGCAACCGACGGUGGCUCCUCGGUGCUGGCACCUGAUGAGAGGAGCCUUUACAUCACGCGGGUGGUGCAGAUCGCUGUCCUCUGUGUCCUCUCCUUGACUGUGAUGUUCGGCAUCUUCUUUUUGGGCUGCAACUUGCUCAUCAAGUCAGAGAGCAUGAUUAACUUCCUGGUGACGGACCGAAGACCUUCCAAGGAUGUGGGAGCUGCAAUCAUGGGACUUUACUAAAGCCACCGGACUUUUGUAGGCAAGUGAACUGUCUGGACCUGGUGCCGAGAUGCACAUUCCCAUGUGUUUGGGGCAGCUGGGGGGGAGUAAAAAGGGGGGGGGACAGGAGUCUUGUAAUAUGUCUGUGUCUAUGGGAAAGCCAACCUGUGCUUCCCAGUCAACAAACUGUCCUGGUGAACAGGGAGAUCUUCCCAGUGUUGUCUGAAGCACAAUAAAUGACCAGCAUUGUGUUGCAUGCAGAAAUGGCUUAAGUUUUGCAUGAAACUUGCAGAAACAGUGACAAUGUGCAGAUCUGGACUCUUUUCUGCUGUUACCUUGGAUACUGCUACCUGGGAUUUAGGGCUAAAAAAAAAAAAAAACAACAACAAAAAAAAAGGCACAAAAAAAAAAAGGGAAAUAACUUUACUACAAAAAGAAAAUGAAAAGAACAAACUAAAGGGAAAGCAACAUGCAUGGCAUGGACCACGGCUUGGACCAUGGGGCAGGGGAAGGGAAGUGCUGUGUGGGUUGUACAACAAAGUCUGCACGCUACAAAAUGUGCCAGUCUGUUUCUAUGUGGGUCCUCAAGCAUGCAUCUUCUGGUAGAGUUUUGUCAUGGGGAAAGCAUGUUCUUCCUUAUUUUCCUGAGCUACCCUGUUAAAUAAAGCAGUCCUUUCUUCUUUCACACUCCGCUGAAGGACGAAAAGAACCCAGGUAAAUGCAAAAGACCACUCCAACCCCAAAACAAAAGCAUGCUUGGUUUUGUACACAACAGCCUUUUCUCAAGUGUUCUAUUGUUACAAUCCUUGAGGUUUUUGUAGUUUUUUUUGAAAACUGGUGACCAUUCAGGAAGAAAAAGAACCUGUUUCAAAA